rnacentral:tmRNA from 1 species
GGGGAUGCCAGGCAUCGACGGGAAAUUUGCACUUUUAAAAAUGGCUUAGACGCACCUAUGCGUUAAAUGGAAAAAAUUAACUGAUAAUCAACUAUCAGAACGUCUUGAGUACGAACAAGCACUUGCUGGAAGGCAAUUUGCUUUUUUGUCAGCUUAAGGCCCUCUCUUUUGAUUUUGUCCGAUUCAAUCUAUAGAGGGGUAAACCAAUCGGAAUAGGGUGAGAUAACAUUUCUAGUUGGUUAUCAAACCGACAAAUAUAACUGGCUUCCCGAAGCGCUUUGAUUACACAAGCGGCCGGGAUAGAGUAAAAAUAAUCUAUUCUAAGCUAAACCUUUUUAAGAGUGUUUUCUCGGACGCGGGUUCAACUCCCGCCAUCUCCACCC